AUUGAACGCUGGCGGCAUGCCUUACACAUGCAAGUCGAACGGCAUCGCGGGAAAGCUUGCUUUCCUGGCGGCGAGUGGCGAACGGGUGAGUAACACAUCGGAACGUACCGGCUAGUGGGGGAUAACCCGUCGAUAGACGGGCUAAUACCGCAUACGCUCUUCGGAGGAAAGCAGGGGACCUUUGGGCCUUGCGCUAGCCGAGCGGCCGAUGUCCGAUUAGCUAGUUGGUGGGGUAAAGGCCUACCAAGGCGACGAUCGGUAGCGGGUCUGAGAGGACGAUCCGCCACACUGGGACUGAGACACGGCCCAGACUCCUACGGGAGGCAGCAGUGGGGAAUCUUGGACAAUGGGGGCAACCCUGAUCCAGCAAUGCCGCGUGGGUGAAGAAGGCCUUCGGGUUGUAAAGCCCUUUCGGCAGGGAAGAAAUCGGCGGGGCGAAUAACCCUGCUGGAUGACGGUACCUGCAGAAGAAGCACCGGCUAACUACGUG
rnacentral:rRNA from 1 species